CCUAGUGAUGGUAACUUUCUUCUUUCCAGUGUUUGGAGAAUUUCUUGUUUCACAGCCUUGAAGCAAACCAUUUUAAAAUCAACUCUGUUAUCCCACAAAGAGGUCUUUUUCCAACAGUGAAGUAUCUGUUCAGUUGUCAUUCAUGGCAAGUACCCAGACAACCUGUCUCCUGUCCUUUUUGUUUUGUAGCAGUCUGACAGCAGUAUCAGCUUCCAAGACUUCGUUAGAUUGACAUUCAUGAGCAGAAGAACCCUGAUCAGGCACUGUGGAAACCUUCUGAAUGCACAAGGAGGAAAGAAAUCACUGAGAGCAGUGAGAAUAAAGUAUGAGGCUUCAGUAAGUAAGUCAACAGAGAGAAGAGGAGGAAAGGCACAUGUCUGGAAGGCUGUUGGAAGUCUGCAAACUGAUGAUCAGGAAGAAGACGGGAAUGAAUAAUAGCAUAAGAAGAGAGACAAUGACCAGAAAAGAAAUGAUGGAAUAAAAGGUGGGAGCUCUGUGGCCUUUCUCUCACCCAGCAUGGAGGGAAUAUGUUUUUAAACGAGAUUCUGGGAGUCCAUGGACUUACAGUUGAGAAUGGAGGUGAUGAAUGCCUUCCUUACUUCAAUUUUAUUGCACAGAAAAACAUUUUAUGCUUGAGUUUUCUGGUACCAGUUCCCAUAGCUUUUGAGAACAGGGUUGUGCAUUGAUCUGAAGGACACUGGCUGCCCUUGGCUAUGGUGUUUGAACUGAACUCUGCAUUGUUGUAGAGUAAUAGUAUGUGAAAAUUGACUAUUCAUUUUAGGAUAAUAAACUGGGACUG